rnacentral:rRNA from 1 species
AUAGGGGAGCCGGAGGGAAACCGAGUCUUAAUUGGGCGUUAAGUUGCAGGGUAUAGACCCGAAACCCGGUGAUCUAGCCAUGGGCAGGUUGAAGGUUGGGUAACACUAACUGGAGGACCGAACCGACUAAUGUUGAAAAAUUAGCGGAUGACCUGUGGCUGGGGGUGAAAGGCCAAUCAAACCGGGAGAUAGCUGGUUCUCCCCGAAAGCUAUUUAGGUAGCGCCUCGUGAAUUCAUCUCCGGGGGUAGAGCACUGUUUCGGCUAGGGGGCCAUCCCGGCUUACCAACCCGAUGCAAACUGCGAAUACCGGAGAAUGUUAUCACGGGAGACACACGGCGGGUGCUAACGUCCGUCGUGAAGAGGGAAACAACCCAGACCGCCAGCUAAGGUCCCAAAGUCAUGGUUAAGUGGGAAACGAUGUGGGAAGGCCCAGACAGCCAGGAUGUUGGCUUAGAAGCAGCCAUCAUUUAAAGAAAGCGUAAUAGCUCACUGGUCGAGUCGGCCUGCGCGGAAGAUGUAACGGGGCUAAACCAUGCACCGAAGCUGCGGCAGCGACGCUGAUGCGUUGUUGGGUAGGGGAGCGUUCUGUAAGCCUGCGAAGGUGUGUCGUGAGGCAUGCUGGAGGUAUCAGAAGUGCGAAUGCUGACAUAAGUAACGAUAAAGCGGGUGAAAAGCCCGCUCGCCGGAAGACCAAGGGUUCCUGUCCAACGUUAAUCGGGGCAGGGUGAGUCGACCCCUAAGGCGAGGCCGAAAGGCGUAGUCGAUGGGAAACGGGUUAAUAUUCCCGUACUUGGUGUUACUGCGAAGGGGGGACGGAGAAGGCUAUGUUGGCCGGGCGACGGUUGUCCCGGUUUAAGCGUGUAGGCUGGUUUUCCAGGCAAAUCCGGAAAAUCAAGGCUGAGGCGUGACGACGAGGCACUACGGUGCUGAAGCAACAAAUGCCCUGCUUCCAGGAAAAGCCUCUAAGCAUCAGGUAACAUCAAAUCGUACCCCAAACCGACACAGGUGGUCAGGUAGAGAAUACCAAGGCGCUUGAGAGAACUCGGGUGAAGGAACUAGGCAAAAUGGUGCCGUAACUUCGGGAGAAGGCACGCUGACACGUAGGUGAAGUGAUUUACUCAUGGAGCUGAAGUCAGUCGAAGAUACCAGCUGGCUGCAACUGUUUAUUAAAAACACAGCACUGUGCAAACACGAAAGUGGACGUAUACGGUGUGACGCCUGCCCGGUGCCGGAAGGUUAAUUGAUGGGGUCAGCGCAAGCGAAGCUCCUGAUCGAAGCCCCGGUAAACGGCGGCCGUAACUAUAACGGUCCUAAGGUAGCGAAAUUCCUUGUCGGGUAAGUUCCGACCUGCACGAAUGGCGUAAUGAUGGCCAGGCUGUCUCCACCCGAGACUCAGUGAAAUUGAACUCGCUGUGAAGAUGCAGUGUACCCGCGGCAAGACGGAAAGACCCCGUGAACCUUUACUAUAGCUUGACACUGAACAUUGAGCCUUGAUGUGUAGGAUAGGUGGGAGGCUUUGAAGUGUGGACGCCAGUCUGCAUGGAGCCGGCCUUGAAAUACCACCCUUUAAUGUUUGAUGUUCUAACGUGGACCCGUGAUCCGGGUUGCGGACAGUGUCUGGUGGGUAGUUUGACUGGGGCGGUCUCCUCCUAAAGAGUAACGGAGGAGCACGAAGGUUGGCUAAUCCUGGUCGGACAUCAGGAGGUUAGUGCAAUGGCAUAAGCCAGCUUGACUGCGAGCGUGACGGCGCGAGCAGGUGCGAAAGCAGGUCAUAGUGAUCCGGUGGUUCUGAAUGGAAGGGCCAUCGCUCAACGGAUAAAAGGUACUCCGGGGAUAACAGGCUGAUACCGCCCAAGAGUUCAUAUCGACGGCGGUGUUUGGCACCUCGAUGUCGGCUCAUCACAUCCUGGGGCUGAAGUAGGUCCCAAGGGUAUGGCUGUUCGCCAUUUAAAGUGGUACGCGAGCUGGGUUUAGAACGUCGUGAGACAGUUCGGUCCCUAUCUGCCGUGGGCGCUGGAGAACUGAGGGGGGCUGCUCCUAGUACGAGAGGACCGGAGUGGACGCAUCACUGGUGUUCGGGUUGUCAUGCCAAUGGCACUGCCCGGUAGCUAAAUGCGGAAGAGAUAAGUGCUGAAAGCAUCUAAGCACGAAACUUGCCCCGA